rnacentral:rRNA from 1 species
GAUGAACGCUGGCGGCGUGCCUAAUACAUGCAAGUCGAGCGAACAGACGAGGAGCUUGCUCCUUCGACGUUAGCGGCGGACGGGUGAGUAACACGUAGGUAACCUACCUAUAAGACUGGGAUAACUUCGGGAAACCGGAGCUAAUACCGGAUAAUAUUUCGAACCGCAUGGUUCGAUAGUGAAAGAUGGCAUUGCUAUCACUUAUAGAUGGACCUGCGCCGUAUUAGCUAGUUGGUAAGGUAACGGCUUACCAAGGCAACGAUACGUAGCCGACCUGAGAGGGUGAUCGGCCACACUGGAACUGAGACACGGUCCAGACUCCUACGGGAGGCAGCAGUAGGGAAUCUUCCGCAAAGGGCGAAAGCCUGACGGAGCAACGCCGCGUGAGUGAUGAAGGUCUUCGGAUCGUAAAACUCUGUUAUUAGGGAAGAACAAACGUGUAAGUAACUGUGCACGUCUUGACGGUACCUAAUCAGAAAGCCACGGCUAACUACGUG